rnacentral:rRNA from 1 species
AGAGUUUGAUCCUGGCUCAGAUUGAACGCUGGCGGAAUGCUUUACACAUGCAAGUCGAACGGGGGUAGCAAUACCCUAGUGGCGAACGGGUGAGUAAUACAUCGGAACGUACCCUGACGUGGGGGAUAACACAGCGAAAGCUGUGCUAAUACCGCAUACGUCCUGAGGGAGAAAGCGGGGGAUCGCAAGACCUCGCGCGUUUGGAGCGGCCGAUGGCGGAUUAGCUAGUUGGUGGGGUAAAGGCCUACCAAGGCGACGAUCCGUAGCUGGUCUGAGAGGACGACCAGCCACACUGGGACUGAGACACGGCCCAGACUCCUACGGGAGGCAGCAGUGGGGAAUUUUGGACAAUGGGCGAAAGCCUGAUCCAGCCAUUCCGCGUGAGUGAAGAAGGCCUUCGGGUUGUAAAGCUCUUUCGGCAGGAACGAAACGGCCAAGGAUAAUACCUUUGGUCAAUGACGGUACCUGAAGAAGAAGCACCGGCUAACUACGUGCCAGCAGCCGUGGUAAUACGUGGGGUGCGAGCGUCAAUCUGAAUGACUGUGCGGAAAGCGUGCGCAGGUGGUAUUGUACGACAUAUGUGAACUCGCGUGCCUAUCCUGGGAACUGCGUUUGUGACUGAAAGACGUGAGUGC